GCUCCGGUGGUGUAGUCCGGCCAUCAUUUUGAUUCGCCUUGUGCGAAUCGGAAUUCACCGGAAAAGCAUAGUGGCCUCUCGAGUCACUGACCCGGGUUCAAAUCCCGGCCGGAGCA
rnacentral:tRNA from 1 species